GGCGCCGUGGCUUAGUUGGUCAAAGUGCUUGUCUAGUAAACAGGAGAUCCUGAGUUCGAAUCCCAGCGGUGCCU
rnacentral:tRNA from 1 species